GAACACGUACCUGAAAUUAAAGGAUCACCUUGCUAGGGUGAAUAAUAGAGGCUAAAAUCCUCUCGUUUGCU
rfam:Chelonia mydas contig195712, whole genome shotgun sequence.